GACGAACUGUCCUAACGUUGUUCGGAAUCACUGGGCUUAAAGGGCGCGUAGGCGGUCCGACAAGUCAGGGGUGAAUACUUGCAGCUUAACUGCAAAGUGCCUUGAAUACUUGUCGGUCUUGAGGGAGAUAGGGGGUGUGCGGGAACUUCCAGUGGAGCUGGUGAAAUGCGAUUGAUUAUUAGGUAAAGGAACGGCCGGGAUGGCCGCAA
rnacentral:rRNA from 1 species